AUCAGUGUUUUUAAGACUGCCGCAGAGAGAUUCAGUUUGGUGUCAUUGAUCCCUAGCUACCUUACACUGAAGUAGCUGCUGAAGGUGCAGCUACAUAGUAAAUCUUCUCAUUUAUUCUAUGAUACGACUUGAGCUUCUUAAUGCUAACAUGGACUUGUUGAAUUCUCAAAAGGCUAUUGACAAAGCAACAGGCUACCGCACUGCAAAUCAGUAUCACAAAUACAAGGAAAGUUUUCAAUCAUAAGUGCUGCUAAGAGGUCUUUCGAUAUAAGAAACCUGGGACUGUUGGUGUCAGAGCUGGAGCUGCUGGCGGCCCAAACAGAACGACUCUGGUGAAAACCUCUUGUCUGCUGGCGAUUGUUGUUACUGUUUGAGCUGAGAUGAAGGCUCGUGUUGUUUUGUUUUAACUAAGGAGAGAGCCUGCGAGCUCCAGAUGUGAUGACCAGAUUUGCACCUUUUGAAGUUGAACUGGAUUUGUAGUGA
rnacentral:lncRNA from 1 species